GACGAACGCUGGCGGCGUGCUUAACACAUGCAAGUCGAACGGAAAGGCCCUUCGGGGUACUCGAGUGGCGAACGGGUGAGUAACACGUGGGUGAUCUGCCCUGCACUUUGGGAUAAGCCUGGGAAACUGGGUCUAAUACCGAAUAGGACCGCGCGCUUCAUGGUGUGUGGUGGAAAGCUUUUGCGGUGUGGGAUGGGCCCGCGGCCUAUCAGCUUGUUGGUGGGGUAAUGGCCUACCAAGGCGACGACGGGUAGCCGGCCUGAGAGGGUGACCGGCCACACUGGGACUGAGAUACGGCCCAGACUCCUACGGGAGGCAGCAGUGGGGAAUAUUGCACAAUGGGCGCAAGCCUGAUGCAGCGACGCCGCGUGAGGGAUGACGGCCUUCGGGUUGUAAACCUCUUUCAAUAGGGACGAAGCGCAAGUGACGGUACCUAUAGAAGAAGCACCGGCCAACUACGUG
rnacentral:rRNA from 1 species